AACGUAGGACACAAGCGUUAUCCGGAGUUACUGGGCGUAAAGGGCGCGUAGGCGGGCCAGCCAGUCUGUGGUGAAAGCCUCCAGCUUAACUGGAGAAGUGCCGUGGAUACUGCUGGCCUCGAGGAGGAUAGGGGCAUCUGGAACGGUCGGUGGAGCGGUGAAAUGCGUUGAUAUCGACCGGAACUCCGGUGGCGAAGGCGAGGUGCUGGGUCCUUUCUGACGCUGAUGCGCGAAAGCCAGGGGAGCAAACGGG
rnacentral:rRNA from 1 species